AACGAACGCUGGCGGCAUGCCUAACACAUGCAAGUCGAACGAUUGUCUUCGGGUGAUAGUGGCGCACGGGUGCGUAACGCGUGGGAAUCUGCCCUUAGGUUCGGAAUAACAGCUGGAAACGGCUGCUAAUACCGGAUGAUAUCGCGAGAUCAAAGAUUUAUCGCCUGAGGAUGAGCCCGCGUUGGAUUAGGUAGUUGGUGGGGUAAAGGCCUACCAAGCCGACGAUCCAUAGCUGGUCUGAGAGGAUGAUCAGCCACACUGGGACUGAGACACGGCCCAGACUCCUACGGGAGGCAGCAGUGGGGAAUAUUGGACAAUGGGCGCAAGCCUGAUCCAGCAAUGCCGCGUGAGUGAUGAAGGCCCUAGGGUUGUAAAGCUCUUUUACCCGGGAAGAUAAUGACUGUACCGGGAGAAUAAGCCCCGGCUAACUCCGUG
rnacentral:rRNA from 1 species